rnacentral:tRNA from 1 species
GGGUGUAUAGCUCAAGUGGCAGAGCACGUGCUUAGCACGCAUGAGGUCCUGGGUUCAAUCCCUGAUACCUCCU